rfam:Bombyx mori DNA, contig: Bm_scaf40_contig23151, strain: p50T/Dazao, build 2, whole genome shotgun sequence.
UAAACUCAAAUUUGUAUGGAGUUGAAACGUUUGCCUACAUUGCCGCUAGGGGCGCUGUUCCAACUGCAUACAAAUUUGAGUUC